AUUGAACGCUGGCGGCAUGCCUUACACAUGCAAGUCGAACGGCAGCGCGGGAGCAAUCCUGGCGGCGAGUGGCGAACGGGUGAGUAAUACAUCGGAACGUGCCCAAUCGUGGGGGAUAACGCAGCCAAAGCUGUGCUAAUACCGCAUACGAUCUACGGAUGAAAGCAGGGGAUCGCAAGACCUUGCGCGAAUGGAGCGGCCGAUGGCAGAUUAGGUAGUUGGUGAGGUAAAGGCUCACCAAGCCUUCGAUCUGUAGCUGGUCUGAGAGGACGACCAGCCACACUGGGACUGAGACACGGCCCAGACUCCUACGGGAGGCAGCAGUGGGGAAUUUUGGACAAUGGGCGAAAGCCUGAUCCAGCCAUGCCGCGUGCAGGAUGAAGGCCUUCGGGUUGUAAACUGCUUUUGUACGGAACGAAACGGUCUUUUCUAAUAAAGAAGGCUAAUGACGGUACCGUAAGAAUAAGCACCGGCUAACUACGUG
rnacentral:rRNA from 1 species